UGGGGAAUAUUGCACAAUGGGCGCAAGCCUGAUGCAGCCAUGCCGCGUGUAUGAAGAAGGCCUUCGGGUUGUAAAGUACUUUCAGCGGGGAGGAAGGUGUUGUGGUUAAUAACCGCAGCAAUUGACGUUACCCGCAGAAGAAGCACCGGCUAACUCCGUGCCAGCAGCCGCGGUAAUACGGAGGGUGCAAGCGUUAAUCGGAAUUACUGGGCGUAAAGCGCACGCAGGCGGUCUGUCAAGUCGGAUGUGAAAUCCCCGGGCUCAACCUGGGAACUGCAUUCGAAACUGGCAGGCUAGAGUCUUGUAGAGGGGGUAGAAUUCCAGGUGUAGCGGUGAAAUGCGUAGAGAUCUGGAGGAAUACCGGUGGCGAAGGCGGCCCCCUGGACAAAGACUGACGCUCAGGUGCGAAAGCGUGGGGAGCAAACA
rnacentral:rRNA from 1 species